UUUAACUACAGUGCUCUGAAAGCAUAUGAUGAAGACAAUAUUUAUGAUGGCAGCCAUUUUUUCCCUUUCAGGCAAUAGCAAGUGAUAAAAUUAUAAAAAUCAUGUAAAAGAAGCCAUACAAAUUUGUUAUAAAGCAAGAAGGCCAUCACCAAAUCUGGCCUUUUGAACAUGGUCUAGAGCCAAGAACUGAAACAAAUCUCUUUUCUUUAUAACUUGGUGAUGUUUUUUCAACAACAACAACAACAAAAAAAGGUAAAAAUGCUGCUUUUCAUU
rnacentral:lncRNA from 1 species